rnacentral:rRNA from 1 species
CCUACGGGAUGCAGCAGUGGGGAAUAUUGCACAAUGGGCGCAAGCCUGAUGCAGCCAUGCCGCGUGUGUGAAGAAGGCCUUCGGGUUGUAAAGCACUUUCAGCGGGGAGGAAGGCGGUGAGGUUAAUAACCUCACCGAUUAACGUUACCCGCAGAAGAAGCACCGGCUAACUCCGUGCCAGCAGCCGCGGUAAUACGGAGGGUGCAAGCGUUAAUCGGAAUUACUGGGCGUAAAGCGCACGCAGGCGGUCUGUCAAGUCGGAUGUGAAAUCCCCGGGCUCAACCUGGGAACUGCAUUCGAAACUGGCAGGCUAGAGUCUUGUAGAGGGGGGUAGAAUUCCAGGUGUAGCGGUGAAAUGCGUAGAGAUCUGGAGGAAUACCGGUGGCGAAGGCGGCCCCCUGGACAAAGACUGACGCUCAGGUGCGAAAGCGUGGGGAGCAAACAGGAUUAGAUACCCCUGUAGUC